CCUCGGCGGGGACACACACACACCUGUUCGAGCUCGUGUUUUUCAUCGUGUUUCGUGAAUGACAGACCCGAUUCAGGGCAGGACAGAGGAUUUUAGUUGUUUUUAGAGUACUAGUGGACGUUUGCGUGAGGUGGUUUUUAUAAAGGAGUGGCAAAGCGAGUGGAGGAUUGGUGAAAAGGGAUAUUCUAGGAGAGGAAGGUGGUGUGUUUGGGGUCUCCUCCCGACCGCCGCCCACUGCUCGGGACUGUCAGCUGUCAACUGUAAAAGGCGCUGCCGCCGUCUGCCCCAAUGAUAGGGUGAAAUUGUUGCACCGAGCAGCAGAGGCAGCAGCAGUGGGAAGCAGCGGGAGUUUGCAAUAUCCGGAGCAGCAGCGGCAACAGCAGCAGCAGCAACCACGGCGGGAACAGCAGAGAUGGAGUGGGACCCGCGCGAGGAAGAGGACCUCCUGGCCAACACCACCGUCGAUAUCAGUGAGUACCGCCGCGCCGACGACAGCAGCGACGGGGAGGACGCGCCCGCCACGGCCCAGCUCCUCCGCCUGGGCACCGAGGACUCGCCGAAGG